ACAAAGUUGGCAGAAUUAAUGUGAAUAAUUUAGGAUUAUUUAAUAAGAUUGAAUCUUACUUUGAA
rnacentral:tRNA from 1 species